UCUCUGGUGGCUCAGAUGGUAAAGCAUCUGCCUGCAAUGCAGGAGACCCAGGUUCGAUCCCUGGGUUGGGAA
rnacentral:tRNA from 1 species